UGAUUAAAGUGUGGUCAUGAUCCCAUGAGUCCCACUAUAUAUAUACGACAAAGGAAAAUUUAACUCAUGGAGUCUUGAUAUUCGUUGCUUCUACAGUUUACUAUUCAUUUUUCACAUACAGCAAGAGUAAAAUUUUAAACGUGUCAAAAUAAAUCGUAUAGGCAGCACUCAGCAGAUCUAAUAAGUGGAUUGCCUCGAAUCAUAUUAACCGUGGGUUACUCUCGAGUACUGACAAGUAGAUAACGCCAAAGAAAAUCGGAGUUGACGGGAUGAUUAUAAACCUUGCUACGCUUCUAGCUAACACCGUCACGAAUCCGUUUAAGAACGGGUAUUACCAGGGCCCACCAACUGCUCCACUUGAAGCUGUCUCCGCUUGUACCGGCAUGUUCGGGUCGGGUUCUUACCCGGGUUACGCUGGUCUAGUGCUGGUUGACAAAACUACCGGGUCUAGUUGAACGUAAACUAUUUAUAAGUCUAUAUAAUUGUACAAAUGUAUAGUAUUUUUUCUAUAUAAUUGUACAAAUGUAUAGUAUUUUAUACACUGUGCGUAGGUAAAUACGUAUGGCUCGUGUGGUGGUCCCCGCAGAAACCAAAGGUAGAGCCGUGUGGAGGGACCUCCCCCCAAGUAAAACGAUCACCACACGGUAUCAGAUCCCUUGUCACUUUCUUGAAUUCAGUGGCGCCCUUUAAAUCCAAAGGAACCUCCCCUAAAUAAUACAGAACUAAUAAUCAUUUGUUUUUAAUAAAAAGUUGAUUUAAUCUUUUUGAUUAUUGACUAGGCUUUGAAACGCGUAAUGACUUCUUCUAGUACAUCCAAACAAGUAUGGUGUCUAUGUAUUUGCUGCGUAUAAGAUCGUCUCUUUGGGUCAAGUCGAUGGAACCUAUACUUUAAGCUGAAUAUUUUCUUUAAACAUUUUUUGACAGAAUUUCAGAUUUGAAGAUUCAAAUUAUCAUGUUUAUAAUAUUUCCAUUUUAACAAAGCGGUCAUUCUUUCUCUAGCCUUUGAAAUUUCGAAACCAAUACAAACCAUGACCCAUGAUGUCAUUAUACUUUUACCAAAAAAUGAUGUCAUUAUACUGAAAAAAUAGCUAAAGCUUUUAAUAGUGAUAUUAAACUUAAUUAGUUGUUGGCUGCUGAUCCAUAAGAAAUUGUUGGCAUAUGAUUUGCUUAAAGAAAAACCAGUGAAUAAUUUACGAAUUCAUUCAUUUUAAUUCAUUUGUACUUAACACUAUUAUAUAGAAAGGUAAAGGGUGGACGAGACUGAUGCUGGUUAAAUAACAGAAUGACGUAUAAUUUUUUUGCAAUUUUUAAAAUAGAAGUUUUAGUUUUUAUCCAUUUCUUAUACCUUUUUUUCGUCAACACAAUUCUAUUGAUUUAUACAAGGAGUUCAUGAUCUUUGUAUUUUUGAACAGAGGAGUUCAUGAUCUAAACUCUGGUUUUUGACUAUAUAGAAGUUGAAUGAAUGUAUGUAUCAAAAUCAGAUAAGCUACAUCCACUUUUUAAAACAACUAGUUGAUGUAAUUUAUAGCCACCUUUUAAUACUAGUUUUUGAGCUAGCUGUAUUUUAUACUCCCUCUGUUUUUAAAAGAUGCAUAUUCUAGACUUUUCAUAUAUAUUAAGAAAAUUCAUUAAAUAUGCAUUGUUUUUUGUGAAUAACAAUUUUUCAUAAUUUUUAGUCAAUAGAAAUUCAAUAAACACCAUUAUUUUUUUUUGAAACUUCCAAUUUUUCAUAAAAUCAUACAUUGAAAAAGUAAAACAUGUAUCUUUUUUAAACAAAUUUUUUUUCCAGAACAUACAUCUUUUAAGAACAGAGUGAGUACUAAGUUCCUUGCAUUUGAAUUUAGAAUGGGCUUUUGCAUUAAAACUAUACUCGGUUUGUAUUCAUAAACUUCAAAAAAAGUUUUAAUAGCUAUGACUUUUGAGUCUAUGACAGCUCGAACAUAGAAAAUUAAAAACUAUGAAAUGUACCUAUCCAAUUUAAUUUAUUUUUCAAGAUUCAUAUAUGUAUAUAUAUUUACAUAUUUAAUUGUAUUACAUUGUCUAUAUUCAUUAUACUUUAUGCAAAUGCGCAUGGACGAGCAUGUCUCUCCGCAUGGCGUAAGAUCUUUUAUAUUAAAACAGAAGUUACAACUUUGAUUCAUGUGUGAUUUUUUAAAAAAUGGAUUUAAUAGACCUAUUUCUAGAAAGUCAUGUUACAUUUAAUCUCUAAUCUUAUCAUUUAAAUUUUGGGCGUAACAGAAAUUUUUAUUGGACUAUCAAUAAUUAGAUUUAAACAAUAGAUAAUCCAUUGGAUUUAUAGAUAAUAUAAUUUAAAUAGAUAUAAUUUAAUAUUGUAAUACUAUACUUCCAUAGUUAAUUAUUUAAAUAUUUGUCGAUGUUAACUUUUAAAAUUAUAAAGAUUUUUUUAAUAAAUCAUAUUAUUUAACAAUGAUUAAUCUUUACUACCUUGAACCAAUGAAAACAAAUUUUAAACUAUAUAGUUUAUUUUAAAAAUUAAACAAAAACUAAAUGUUUAAUUAUUUACUCGAUAAUAUAAAUCUAUGAAGCGAAAAGUUUAAUUUCUUAAAAACUUUCUAAUUUUGUGAAAUGUUACAAUAUCUUUGAAUAUGACAACAAAACAAUAUUUUACUAAUCUUUAUAUAUAUUGUUACGAUUUUAAUAAUGAAAUAAUAAUAUGAAAAUAUAUAUAUAGAAGAAGAUAUAAAUACAUGUGAAAGUUUAAAACAAUCUAUUCAAUGAAAAAUAUACCGUAAAUUUAUUAUGUUUUAAAAAUUGAUAGACACAUAUAUAUUAUAAUAUAUACCAAUUUUUUUUUUAAUUGAGUGUUAAAUUUAAUUCAAAAGAAAAAGUUGUUUGCUUUACAUCAAGUGUAACUUGCUAUAGAAGAAAUAAAAUCAAGACUUAUAUUUUCUUCCUAUAAACUCUUAUCUUUUUACUCAAUCCUCCCUCAAAGGAUCUUCAUCCCUCAAAAUAUAUACCAAUUUAGAAUUGAAAACAAAAUAUUUAUAUAAAAAUAAAUGAAAAUAAAUUUAAAACUUCUAUAAAAUAACAGACUAAUAACAAAAUUAUCGGCUAAGCAUCACUUAAAUUUAAUACACGUUAUGGAGACUACCACGUCACAUUUGAGCAACCUUCCAGGCUGUCAAAGACCACUAUCAUCCAUUCAAAUCUCUCCACGUGGCAUUUUCGGACAGUGACAUCUAUGCUACAACAGCUGCCUCACUCGUCUACAUUGGUAUAAAUACCUCCGUAUCACACUUCAUUCUAUAAACCUCAAACAAAACCUCUGUUCUCUCUCUUACAAUAUCCAACUUCUCAAUGGCUUAUAAUUACCGUUUUGCCUUUUUCCUCACCGUCCUCACCGCCCUCGCCGGUAUCUCCUCCGCCGCGUUGGUCAAGGAGCAGCCGCUUGUUCUGAAAUACCACAACGGCGCUCUCUUGAAAGGCAACAUCAACGUCAAUCUCGUUUGGUACGGGAAGUUCACUCCCACCCAACGGUCCGUCAUCGUCGACUUCAUCCGCUCGCUCAACUCCAAAGAAGCCGCAACCUCCGCCGCUCCCUCCGUCGCGUCGUGGUGGAAGACGACGGAGAAAUACAAAGGCGGAGCUUCGACUCUCGUCGUCGGGAAACAGCUCCUCCUCGAGAACUACCCCCUCGGAAAAUCUCUCAAGAAUCCUAACCUCCGUGCUCUAUCCACCAAACUUAACGGCGGUCUCCGUUCGAUAACCGUCGUUUUAACGGCGAAAGACGUUUCCGUCGAGGGGUUCUGUAUGAACCGGUGCGGGUCCCACGGAUCGUCCGUCUCGACUUCGCGCCGCGCGGCUAACGGCGCGGCUUACGUCUGGGUCGGAAACGCCGAGACGAUGUGUCCAGGAUACUGCGCGUGGCCGUUUCACCAGCCCAUUUACGGCCCACAAGGGCCGCCGUUAGUUUCCCCUAACGGUGACGUCGGAGUUGACGGGAUGAUUAUAAACCUUGCUACGCUUCUAGCUAACACCGUCACGAAUCCGUUUAAGAACGGGUAUUACCAGGGCCCACCAACUGCUCCACUUGAAGCUGUCUCCGCUUGUACCGGCAUGUUCGGGUCGGGUUCUUACCCGGGUUACGCUGGUCUAGUGCUGGUUGACAAAACUACCGGGUCUAGUUACAACG
rnacentral:lncRNA from 1 species